rnacentral:ncRNA from 1 species
AAAUAUUAUGUGAAUGCUAUCCAUAUAAUCCUGAUAAUAUGGUUCGGGAGUCUCUACUGAGUAACCGUAAAUUACUCGUCUAUGGGUGUCCAAGUGUUUUUU